rnacentral:tRNA from 1 species
GCCCAGAUGGCGGAAUUGGUAGACGCGCUAGGUUCAGGUCCUAGUGGUGGCAACACUGUGCAGGUUCAAAUCCUGUUCUGGGCA